UAUCCAUGGAAAUAUGAUUGUGUUUCCCUUGUAAUUUUUCAUAUGGAAGAUCGUGAUGUAUUAAUCCAUAAGAUUGAUUGUUGGUUUGUGUAAGACACUUGUACUUUUAGCAGUGAUGUGGCACUUGCAUUUUUCACUGGGGAUGUGAGGGUGGCAGUACUUUUGCAGUCCUUUUAAAAAAAAAGAGAGAUUUGUGUGAAUGUGACUGUUGGAUUGAACACUGAUUUCCAUUCGAUUGAAUUUUUUGAAUGAAGUGAUGUAUUGAUCCGUAACAUUGAUUGUUGAUUCUGGUUUGUAAGACAAUUGCAUUUUUAGCAGUGAUAUAAUACUUGCAUUUUUCACCAGUGAUGUGAGGGUGGCAGUACCUUUGCAUUCCUUUUGACCAGGAAAUGGAAUUGUGCGAAUAUGACUGUUGAAUUAAACAGUGAUUACCAUUUGAUUUUUUAACACAUAUUCUAUGGAUAUGUGACUGUGUUUCCUUCAUAAUUUUUUCUAUAGAAUAAUGUGAUGUAUUUAUUAAUCCAUAACAAUGAUUGUGAUGUGACCCUUGCAUUCUUAGCAGUGAAUCAACAGUGAAAUAACAGUUGCAUUUUUAGUAGUGAUGUGACACUUGCAUUUAUUGCAGUGAUGUGACACUUGCAUUUUAUUUUUCUAAAAGUGACAAUUGUUAACUUUCUCUGGUUAAUGGCUGAGGAAUGCAGUCUAGAAAACAAAAAAGAAAGCCUUAAAUAUUCUGAUUCAGAUUUGAGGAUAUCAUGAGAACCUCAGACUUACAGAUUGGAUUUACCAGAGUACAUUGUAUAAUGGACUCCUGAACACGGUUUCUUAACUGUACAAAUAAAUGUAAAUGGAAAUUACUAAUGCUUGGCGAAGGAUGGUGGAAAUGAAGAAUAUUGUGGAGGUACUUUGGAGAUCCUGAACAACAGGAUUGAAGAAGGACUGGGAGUAAUUUAUUUUCUCAAGUGUUGGACUGAUUAAUUUGGUGAACGAAAACUUGUAUCUUUGGUCCUGCAUAUGUAGUGAAAAAAAGAAAUAUGCAGUGAUUAUAUUGACAACCUUUCAUCUGUAGCUGUGAUAAUACUGACAUUGGGAUCGUUAGCUGAGAUACAAAACUACAUCACACUACAGUAUUUGACAUAGGCAAACGGUGUUUGAGGAACCCUUUGCCUGAACAUUUCAUAUACAAGCUACUACCAGAAACUGCUCAACAAUAUUAAGUUUCCUCCAGUGACAUCAUUGGAAAUGGGAAAGUUUAAGACAUCUGACCUUAAUUUUUAAAAGUUAUUGCAGUGUGUAUUUAUAGUGUCACAGAUUGUGAUCAUUAUGCAUUUUAUUUUUAUUGUAAAAUGCACAGCAUGAUGGAUAUGUACAGUGAAAAUAAAUUAUGUUUAUAUCGAGUGCACAGAAAAUGGACUCGCGCAAUCUGUAACAGUAACAAAUAAUAGAUAUGAACAACUAAGUGAUUUACCCAUUCCUUCAAUAUUUCAGACUGUCACAUAUACCUGUCAGAGUUAAGAUUCUAAAUACAUUUUAUGUAGAUAGAAACUAGCUAAUGUCUGGUUCUGAAAUACAUGUAUAUAAUAUUAUAAGAUUCAAUUUACAUAAGUAUAACUGAUAAUGCCUAUAACAAAGCCUUUUGACAAAUAAAAAAAUGUACAAAGAGUUUAAUAAAUAAAGACAGCCAUAGAAAUGUAUUUAAUUGCUUGCUUUAGAUGCUUGCAUGUCACUUGAUGCAGAAUUCUUGUGAGAAUUAUUUUUUUUCCUUGCACAAAAGUAAAUAAAGUGUUAAUGUAUUUUAUGUAGAUUUACUUUGGCUCAAAGCUUCGGGACACUUAAUUUCAUUGAUGAUAUUUUAAGUCAUCUCUGAUUUUAUGAGAUUUAAAAAUUCAUCACAAUAUUUCAUACUAUGGUUUUAUGCAUGCAUAUUUUAUGGAA